rnacentral:rRNA from 1 species
UACGUAGGGGGCAAGCGUUGUCCGGAAUCAUUGGGCGUAAAGCGUGUGUAGGCGGCCGCGACAGUCGGAUGUGAAAGCCCUGGGCUCAACUCAGGAAGUGCACCCGAUACUACGUGGCUCGAGUACCGGAGAGGUUGGUGGAAUUCUCGGUGUAGAGGUGAAAUUCGUAGAUAUCGAGAGGAACACCUGUGGCGAAGGCGGCCAACUGGACGAGUACUGACGCUGAGACACGAAAGCGUGGGGAGCAAACAGG